CCCUUAGAUGUUCUGGUCUGCACGCGCGCUACACUGAUGCGUUCAACGAGUUUAUAACCUUGCCCGAUAGGGUUGGGUAAUCUUUUGAAAACGCAUCGUGAUGGGGAUAGAUUAUUGUAAUUAUUAAUCUUGAACGAGGAAUUCCUAGUAAACGCAGAUCAUCAAUCUGCAUUGAUUACGUCCCUGCCCUUUGUACACACCGCCCGUCGCACCUACCGAUUGGAUGGUCCGGUGAAGCCUCGGGAUUGUGGUUCUUGCCGCUUUAUUGUGGCGUGACCGCGAGAACUUGUCUAAACCUUAUCAUCUAGAGGAAGGUGAAGUCGUAACA
rnacentral:rRNA from 1 species